GAUGAACGCUGGCGGCGUGCCUAAUACACGCAAGUCGAGCGAAUGGAUUAAGAGCUUGCUCUUAUGAAGUUAGCGGCGGACGGGUGAGUAACACGUGGGUAACCUGCCCUUGACUCUGGGAUAACUGCUAGAAAUGGUAGCUAAUACCGGAUACGACCCUCGGAGGCCUCUUCAGGGGGUGGAAAGAAUUUCGGUCAAGGAUGGACUCGCGGCCGAUCAGAUGGUUGGUGAGGUAAUGGCUCACCAAGGCGACGACGGGUAGCCGGCCUGAGAGGGUGACCGGCCACACUGGGACUGAGACACGGCCCAGACUCCUACGGGAGGCAGCAGUGGGGAAUAUUGCACAAUGGGCGCAAGCCUGAUGCAGCAACGCCGCGUGAGGGAUGACGGCCUUCGGGUUGUAAACCUCUUUUAGUAGGGAAGAAGCGAAAGUGACGGUACCUGCAGAAAAAGCACCGGCUAACUACGUGCCAGCAGCCGCCGUAA
rnacentral:rRNA from 1 species